rnacentral:rRNA from 1 species
GCCCAUAAGCUAGCUCACCAAAUAAAGUAAAUAUAAGAUAUGUAUAUUUUAAUAUGAAAAACUACUUCAAAAAUAAAGCAUUCUACCCUUAUAGUAUAGGCGAUAGAAAUAAAAAAAUGAAGCUAUAAUUAAGUACCGCAAGGGAAAGCUGAAAAAGAAAUGAAACAACUCAGUAAAGCAUAGAAAAGCAAAGAUUAAUUCUUGU